rnacentral:lncRNA from 1 species
CACUCGACUUCAGGGUUCCCUGAGCCUCUUAGGGAAAGGACGUUGGAACAUUAGAAGGGCCUUGGAGGAUGGGAAGUGAGGUGCUGCCAACCAGCUCAACCUAAAGAUGGUAAAAGGGAAAGUGUCCCCCACAGGGUCAACUUGGGCUGCUCCUGGGAUCUUCUUUCUGAACUAAAGGCAGUCUGGGACCAUUCUGAACUUGCCUGGUGAUCGGUGGCAAACUCAUUCACUCCCCCACUGCCAUCUCCCACGUUAUGAAAUGAGAAGAAAUCAUUCCUGCAGUUCAUUUAUCAUUUUUGCAUGUAUUAGCGUGCUGGCAGGCAUUUUACAAGGCCCUGGGAAUAGAACGGCAAGAAAAAGAGACACCAUUCCUACCUUCAUGGAGCUUGUGGUUCCAAGGCAAACAGGCAUGAAUCAAGGGAUUACAGAAGACGGUGUAAAAUUGUAAAUGUGGAAUUAUUGUAAAGGGAAGCUAACACAGGUCAUGGGUUGGGGGAGCAUCACAGGGAGAUGCCCAGUCUUCAAGGUCUGAGAAAGCGUCCUCUUGGCAGAAACCCUUGUGUUGACACCUAUGAGAUCUGUAAGACUAGAAGAGGCCAAAUAGGCCAAAAGGGGAGAAAAACAAUGGAAGCAGGAGGAGCACCAGCAAGGCCAAUGUGUGGGAAGAGGAGUAAGACAUGUUGGAAGUGAGAAAAGGCUGGGUGGCUGGGAAAAACGUCUGAUGGGAAACAUGGUCGGAGAGGAGCCUGGGGAGGAAGAAAAGAGCCCCGCCAAGGAGGGCCUUGUAGGACAACUGGUGUGUCUUCAUCCCACUGUCAGGGGAGGGCCUUUGGAGGGUUUGCAGCAGAGUAGGGAGGGGUGCUAUAGAUGAGUGUGCUUUUGAAGCGAUCACUCCAGCUGCAAUGUGAUACAAAGACAAGGGGGUUCCGAG